rnacentral:rRNA from 1 species
AGGACGAACGCUGGCGGCGUGCUUCAUACAUGCAAGUCGAACGAGAAUCUGACUUCGGUCAGAGGAAAGUGGCGGACGGGUGAGUAAUAUGUAGAGAAUCUGCCCUUUAGCGGGGGACAACAGUUGGAAACGACUGCUAAUACCCCAUAUGAGCGUAGCUGAGAUGCUAUUCUUGAAAACUCCGGUGCUAGAGGAUGAGUCUGCAUCUGAUUAGCUAGUAGGCGGUGUAAUGGACCACCUAGGCGACGAUCAGUAGCUGGUUUGAGAGGAUGAUCAGCCACAAUGGGACUGAGACACGGCCCAUACUCCUACGGGAGGCAGCAGUAGGGAAUUUUGCGCAAUGGGGGAAACCCUGACGCAGCAACGCCGCGUGAAUGAAGAAGCCCUUCGGGGUGUAAAGUUCUGUCAGUGGGGACGAAACUUGACGGUACCCACAGAGGAAGCAUCGGCUAACUCCGUGCCAGCCGCCGC